GCGACAUUGGUGUAGUGGCUAGCAUCUACGUUUCCCAUACCAACGUGAGACUACGUAGGACUCGAGUUCGAUUCUCGAAUGUCGCA